UGCUGUAACGCAACCGAACUCUGAGACGUUGGCUGGAACCCCGGGAAGAGUUGUCUUUUCUUCGUAAGGUCUCGGCUCCCUGGAAUCGGUUCGCCCGGAGAUAGGGAUGAUGAGACCGUAAAGCACCGCGGUUCUUGCGGUGUCCGGAGCGUUCCAGCCGGCCCUUGAAAAUCAGAGGGAGGAAGUGUGAUUUUCGUGCCGGACCGUACCCAUAUCCGCAGCAGG
rnacentral:rRNA from 1 species